rnacentral:lncRNA from 1 species
GUGUACAUUGCAUUUUUUGUGGAUCAAUUUUCAGGUUUGUGAAUUGUUGUUGAUCUAUUCGUCUUGUUUAAUCGUCCAUGGUGUUCCUGAUAUCAACAUGGGAAACAUUGCAACUUUGAUAACUUGUAUUAAUUACAACAAGAAAAAUGUAAGGUAUUUAUAUCCAAGAGGACAACCAAUUGAAAAUAAGAAUAAAAAGGUCUUUCUCGUUG